UGAAACAGUGCUGCAGAAACGCGAUAGUUUGAUAUGAGUAGGGUAUCGCAUGAGUUCCUGUUGAUGUAGUGCGCGAUGGAAAUAAUUUGAAUGAAUCUAGGCCUAGCAGUCUAGUAAAUGUGACCCACAGUCUUUGCAAAAUCCUAAUCUGAGACUGGCCUAGUCUUUCAAAAAUCUUUUCCAAAUCUUUGCUAAGUCUGUCAAUGUAAGGUAGGCUUAAGUUGACACUUGUCAGUGUCCAUUCUUUUGUUGGUCCAGAGUUUAUUUUUACUGCAUGAACGGUGUUUAUAAUCUCGUUCAGAGAGGGUGAAACCGAAGCCAGUCAGGCUCUUGGUUCAGUCCUUCGGGUACCCAUCUGACGUCAUUACGUCGGCAGACGUCUCUCCCUGGAAGUCCGAAGUUGCCCGAGAACAAUGGCUGCCUGACGACGGCUGUUUGACUGUUUGAAAGCCAAGGUUAUCAAGGAAACAAGUGGUGUACUGGAUGAAGUUUGAUGGACUCUUCUGAUCAGGUGCUGCAGGUCUUCCAGCUACUGUUUGGAGAAGAUAUUUCCUCUCAAUUUAUGGAAGUAGGGAAUUUUUCUGAAGGCAGAAAUCAAGGAUUCAAGAACCCAAGUUGGACUCUUGAUUCCACUGAGACCACUGUGUGCAUUUUGAAAUGUUCCAAAUGUGUGUCACGUCCAUAUGGAAGAAGUUCCAAGCCCACAAUGGGCUCUAUGAACUGUCCAGGGCAAAGUCGGUCUACCCUGAUGACACUCCCUGUUCCUUGAUGGUAACCAUGGCUGCUGCCCUCAACGUGGUGGGUGUGGACUAUAGGAGCCCUCAGAAAUAAACUGAUAUCAAUAAUUAAUAUGGAUGGUGAUUGUGGCAAGGGUGCCUCCAUAAGGUGCCAUCCAGAAGCCCCAGCCUG